rnacentral:rRNA from 1 species
GAGCGCCCCGCAAGGGGAGCGGCAGACGGGAGAGUAACACGUGGGAACGUACCCUUCAGUUCGGAACAACCCAGGGAAACUUGGGCUAAUACCGGAUACGUCCGUAAGGAGAAAGAUUUAUCGCUGAAGGAUCGGCCCGCGUCUGAUUAGCUAGUUGGUGAGGUAACGGCUCACCAAGGCUACGAUCAGUAGCUGGUCUGAGAGGAUGAUCAGCCUCACUGGGACUGAGACACGGCCCAGACUCCUACGGGAGGCAGCAGUGGGGAAUAUUGGACAAUGGGCGCAAGCCUGAUCCAGCCAUGCCGCGUGGAUGAUGAAGGCCUUAGGGUUGUAAAAUCCUUUCGGCGGGGAAGAUAAUGACGGUACCCGCAGAAGAAGCCCCGGCUAACUUCGUGCCAGCAGCCGCGGUAAUACGAAGGGGGCUAGCGUUGCUCGGAAUCACUGGGCGUAAAGCGCACGUAGGCGGCUUUUUAAGUCAGGGGUGAAAUCCUGGAGCUCAACUCCAGAACUGCCUUUGAUACUGAGAGGCUUGAGUCCGGGAGAGGUGAGUGGAACUGCGAGUGUAGAGGUGAAAUUC